AACUUUCAACAACGGAUCUCUUGGCUCUCGCAUCGAUGAAGAACGCAGCGAAAUGCGAUAAGUAAUGUGAAUUGCAGAAUUCAGUGAAUCAUCGAAUCUUUGA
rnacentral:rRNA from 2 species